ACUCAAAAAUCAAUGAGAUAUCAGAGAUCGACGACUGGCCGGGUGCGGUUGUAUCCGUCUGAGGGCCUAUUCUGUUCAUCUUUUGUGUGCAUUUUUAAUGACUCUUGUGGAAAGAAAACAAAUUAUCUCCCUACUACUCUUUAGGAGUUGAAAUAAUCUUAAAUCUGACGAGUGAACUGUUGGAGAUAUUAUAUUUAUAAUAAUCUACUAAGUCUUUCUUUGGAUUUUCAUAAAAACAAUUUUCUUUGGAUUGUAUGGGUUUUUCCUGCUGCUUGUUGGGUCGUCAUUGAUUUAUUCUUCGACUACAAAAUUCAAAAUCCUUUAUCACCCCAAAUACUUGAAGCUCCAAAUGUGCAUUGGCUGAUUCCUCUCACUCCCAUCAGUCUAGCCUUUCAAUCCAUCAUUUUAAUUCGGACAAAGUCCAUUUCAUCUUCCUUAACUAUUACAUGAGUUUUGUUUACCUCAUUAAACUAGAUAAUAAUUUUUAGACUCCAACUCUUGAAACCAUCCAAUUUACAUGCAUGGAGUAUUAAAUAUAGAUAAAAUAAAAAAUUAAUUGCACAAAUUAAUUAAAUUUUGUGAGAAAAUCUUUUAAGCCUAAUUAAUUUAUGAUUAGACAUUAAUUGCUAUAGUAAUACUGUGUUAAUGACGGAUUAAUUAGGUUUAAUAAAUUCAUCUCGCGAUUUCCUGACGGAUUCUGUAUUUUAUUUUUCUAUUAGUAUUCGAACACCAUGCGACACCCUCAUACGACAAACGAUGUGACACUCAAAAAAAAUUUGUCAUAUAAUUUCAUCAAAACAUUGCUCUUCUACGUAAAAGGUUUCAUGGUCAUUUCAUCAACCUCAUCCAAUCAUGCAAAUCCACAACUUUCUUCUGGGACCUUGCAAAUGGCCAACUUAACCUUUUAGACCGCAGCGUGGCAUUUGCCAGGGAUGCCCUCUGUCGUCUAGGUUGCAAAACUAAAUGCAACCUAGGGAGUUUUCUUAUGCCUGACAUGACACGGAUCCACUCCCUUCAUUUUGCACUCAUGACCUGAUUAUUGGUGGCCACGCUUCUAUGGUCGAGACUAAUGCAAUCUGUCACAUUAUAUAAGAAUUCUACCAAAUCUCCACAAAUCAUCCAUGCUCUUCACUCUUCAGUGCCAAAGUGGGCACUGCUACCAAAAAUGAAAGAAAAAAAAACAUCUUCACACAGUAAAUGAUCUGGCUCCACACACCAGGCAUCUUGCACCUCCUAUCCUCUUCACCCAUCAAGACAAAACCAAAGGUUAUGGUUUUAUCUAAAUAAGUUUAAACCCAAACUCACUACUGUCAACGCAAAUAAGCUCAACCAUGCUAAGAGACUAAGCGUGUGUUUGAUUUCGGGACUUCAUAGGAUGGGUUAGAUCCAUCCCUGAUUUUUGGAAUUGAGUGAUCUUGUUCCUUGUUUGCUUGUAU
rnacentral:lncRNA from 1 species